rnacentral:rRNA from 1 species
UACGUAGGGUGCAAGCGUUGUCCGGAAUUAUUGGGCGUAAAGAGCUCGUAGGCGGUCUGUCACGUCGGCUGUGAAAACCCGAGGCUCAACCUCGGGCCUGCAGUCGAUACGGGCAAACUAGAGUACUGCAGGGGAGACUGGAAUUCCUGGUGUAGCGGUGAAAUGCGCAGAUAUCAGGAGGAACACCGGUGGCGAAGGCGGGUCUCUGGGCCGUUACUGACGCUGAGGAGCGAAAGCGUGGGGAGCGAACAGG